AAAUGAGUAGCUCAACUGGUAGAGCGCUAUCUCGCCAAGAUAGAGGUUAUAGGUUCAAAUCCUAUUUUGUUUU
rnacentral:tRNA from 1 species